GAUGAGAACGUAGCGAAAUGCGAUAAGUAAUGUGAAUUGCAGAAUUCAGUGAACCAUCGAAUCUUUGAACGCACAUUGCGCCCGGCAGUAAUCUGCCGGGCAUGCCUGUCCGAGCGUCAUUUCUCCCCUCGAGCGCAGCUUUCCCCCCCGGGGGAGGGCCGCGCCCGGUGUUGGGGCGCUACGGAGGAGCCCAGCGCUCCCCCGUAGGCCCCGAAAUGUAGUGGCGGUCCCGCCGCGGCGCCCCCUGCGUAGUAGUUUUACAACUCGCAUCGGGUCCCGGCGGAGGCCAGCCGUCAAACCCCCCAACUUCAAUAGUUUGACCUCGGAUCAGGUAGGGUUACCCGCUGAACUUAAGCAUAUCAAUAAGCGGAGGA
rnacentral:misc_RNA from 1 species